AGACUACAAAAGAAUACCACUUGAAGGCCUCCCAGAUUGGAACUUGCACAGUCCCAAAGCAGAGGCAGUUGCUAUUGUUCGGGUACGGGGAUGGGUAAUUGACAGAGGAGAACAAGCCUUUGGAUUUAGACAACACAGAGCUACAGCAAUCUGAAGGGAAGAACCAAACGGGAUUGAAGAGAAUGAAAACGCCACAGAAGUCUUUCAGAAGUGCCUGACAAGUCUCUUCAGCCAUUUACAUCAGUCAAACUUGCAAAGGAGAAAUGAAUUAGAAUGCUUACAGUUGUGUUGAUGUUCCUUGUGUCAAAGUUACGUAAGGCAAAUAAAGCUGCUUCAGCUACU